GAUCGAGCCUCUUUGUUUCCACAGCAGCCAUUGAAUAAUACUUAAACAGCAUGCAAACCACCAACUCAUGAAGCUUUCCACCUCUCAGAGUCCGUCAGAACAGCAUAGAGCAGCUGGGUAUGGUGGCUCCCACCUAUAAUCCUGGCCAUUUGAGGGACUGAAGCAGGAUUGCCACAACUCAAGACCACAGAAAUCUCCGCAGACAACAACAAAAAUAAAAUAACAAAGGCCUCA